rnacentral:ncRNA from 1 species
GAAAAUCCAGAAAUCCAAAGAAGGAGCAGACUGAACCGAACAACUACGCGAAGGGAUUGCGCACGAAGAACAGGCCACAAUUGGACGCCAGUUCGCGGCAUCACUCACCCCCAGAAGCAGGGCCCAUAACUGAUGUCCCACACUCUAUAACCCCCCACCACUUCUCUCCCCAGUAGUAUUGUUAACACACGGUACCGGCCGUUAACCGGGCUGCACUGCAGUACAUCAAAAUUGAUUUAUGUCGAAACAUUGGUUAGAAUCUGUUUCUAAUAAAGUCCCAUUGGUGCGCGUCACAAAUUAGACUGACGGCAGCAGGCACUUUCCUUCGUGAGAGUCCUGCAAAUUCAGCAACUAGCCAAAUGCCUCGUCAUCUAAUUAGUGACGCGUAUGAAUGGAUCAACAAGAUUCCUUCUGUCCCUAUCUACUAUCUAGCGAAACCACAGCCAAGGGAACGGGCUUGGCAAAAUCAGCGGGGAAAGAAGACCCUGUUGAGCUUGACUCUAGUCUGACUCUGUGAA